GAUGAACGCUGGCGGCGUGCUUAAUACAUGCAAGUCGAACGAGGUGCUUUUGUAGCAAUACGGAAGUAUCCUAGUGGCGAACGGGUGAGUAACGCGUUGGUGACCUACCCCGAAGUGUGGGAUAACAGUCCGAAAGGAUUGCUAAUACCGCAUGUGGUCCCCGGGUUUAGAAACCGGUGACUAAAGCAGUAAUGCGCUUUGGGAGGGACCUGCGUCCCAUCAGCUAGUUGGUGAGGUAACGGCUCACCAAGGCGUCGACGGGUAAGGGACCUGAGAGGGUGGUCCCUCACAAUGGCACUGAAACACGGGCCAUACACCUACGGGUGGCAGCAGUAGGGAAUAUUGCUCAAUGGGCGAAAGCCUGAAGCAGCAACGCCGCGUGUGCGAUGAAGGCCUUCGGAUCGUAAAGCACUUUUCUGCGAGAUGAGAAAGGACAGUAUCGUAGGAAUAAGUCUCGGCUAACUACGUGCCAGCCGCCGCCGUAAGAC
rnacentral:rRNA from 1 species